CCCCAUUGCUUUUCCUAGUUGAGCAGGGAGAGCAAAAUGCAGCUGCUGCUACUUCAUAGUCAUGCCUCUGGAAGUCUCCAGCACUGUUCAACUUUGACUUAUGAUGGUGGUAGGGAUUGAACCUGGGACCUCUAAACCUCAGGAGGAUGAAAAAGGCUGUCUGGGCAGGAGCCUGAAGGAGACUGAUUUCCAUAUUCCUGAUGGAGAUGAAAGCACAUCUUAUAAUUCAUCUACCUACUCUGUCGUCUGUGGCCGAGAAAGAAGACAAUAUCAAC